CACAUACUCUUACUUUUUAAAAUUCUUGUCUUAGAUUUGUGUAAGUAUGAAUGUAUCUAGUCAAAUUUUAGUAUUAAGAUACAUUCAUUUCUAAACAACCUAAGACAAAAAUUUUGAGACGGAGAGAGUAUAUU
rnacentral:pre_miRNA from 1 species